GGCCAGACUCCUACGGGAGGCAGCAGUGGGGGAUAUUGCACAAUGGGGGGAACCCUGAUGCAGCGACGCCGCGUGGGUGAAGAAGCGCCUCGGCGCGUAAAGCCCUGUCAGCAGGGAAGAAAAUGACGGUACCUGAAGAAGAAGCCCCGGCUAACUACGUGCCAGCAGCCGCGGUAAUACGUAGGGGGCAAGCGUUAUCCGGAUUUACUGGGUGUAAAGGGGGCGCAGACGGCGAUGCAAGCCAGGAGUGAAAGCCCGGGGCCCAACCCCGGGACUGCUCUUGGAACUGCGUGGCUGGAGUGCAGGAGGGGCAGGCGGAAUUCCUGGUGUAGCGGUGAAAUGCGUAGAUAUCAGGAGGAACACCGGUGGCGAAGGCGGCUCUCUGGACUGUAACUGACACUGAGGCACGAAAGCGUGGGGAGCAAACAGGAUUAGAUACCCUUGUA
rnacentral:rRNA from 1 species